rnacentral:rRNA from 1 species
AGAGUUUGAUCCUGGCUCAGGAUGAACGCUGGCGGCGUGCCUAAUACAUGCAAGUCGAGCGAACGGACGAGAAGCUUGCUUCUCUGAUGUUAGCGGCGGACGGGUGAGUAACACGUGGAUAACCUACCUAUAAGACUGGGAUAACUUCGGGAAACCGGAGCUAAUACCGGAUAAUAUUUUGAACCGCAUGGUUCAAAAGUGAAAGACGGUCUUGCUGUCACUUAUAGAUGGAUCCGCGCUGCAUUAGCUAGUUGGUAAGGUAACGGCUUACCAAGGCAACGAUGCAUAGCCGACCUGAGAGGGUGAUCGGCCACACUGGAACUGAGACACGGUCCAGACUCCUACGGGAGGCAGCAGUAGGGAAUCUUCCGCAAUGGGCGAAAGCCUGACGGAGCAACGCCGCGUGAGUGAUGAAGGUCUUCGGAUCGUAAAACUCUGUUAUUAGGGAAGAACAUAUGUGUAAGUAACUGUGCACAUCUUGACGGUACCUAAUCAGAAAGCCACGGCUAACUACGUGCCAGCAGCCGCGGUAAUACGUAGGUGGCAAGCGUUAUCCGGAAUUAUUGGGCGUAAAGCGCGCGUAGGCGGUUUUUUAAGUCUGAUGUGAAAGCCCACGGCUCAACCGUGGAGGGGCAUUGGGAACUGGAAAACUUGAGUGCAGAAGAGGAAAGUGGAAUUCCAUGUGUAGCGGUGAAAUGCGCAGAGAUAUGGAGGAACACCAGUGGCGAAGGCGACUUUCUGGUCUGUAACUGACGCUGAUGUGCGAAAGCGUGGGGAUCAAACAGGAUUAGAUACCCUGGUAGUCCACGCCGUAAACGAUGAGUGCUAAGUGUUAGGGGGUUUCCGCCCCUUAGUGCUGCAGCUAACGCAUUAAGCACUCCGCCUGGGGAGUACGACCGCAAGGUUGAAACUCAAAGGAAUUGACGGGGACCCGCACAAGCGG